rnacentral:misc_RNA from 1 species
GAUGAAGAACGUAGCGAAAUGCGAUAAGUAAUGUGAAUUGCAGAAUUCAGUGAAUCAUCGAAUCUUUGAACGCACAUUGCGCCCGCCAGUAUUCUGGCGGGCAUGCCUGUUCGAGCGUCAUUUCAACCAUCAAGCCCCCGGGCUUGUGUUGGGGACCUGCGGCUGCCGCAUGCCCUGAAAAGCAGUGGCGGGCUCGCUGUCACACCGAGCGUAGUAGAUUUUAUCUCGCUCUGGGCGUGCUGCGGGUUCCGGCCGUUAAACCACCCUUUUAACCCAAGGUUGACCUCGGAUCAGGUAGGAAGACCCGCUGAACUUAAGCAUAUCAAUAAGCGGAGGA